rnacentral:rRNA from 1 species
GUUUGAUCCUGGCUCAGGACGAACGCUGGCGGCGUGCCUAACACAUGCAAGUCGAGCGGGAUAUACCGGUUUAGUUUACUAAGCUGGUAAAUUCAGCGGCGGACGGGUGAGUAACGCGUGAGCAAUCUGCCUUGUACAGGGGGAUAACAGCCGGAAACGGCUGCUAAUACCGCAUAAGGCCACAGUACCGCAUGGUACAGGGGUCAAAGGAGAGAUCCGGUAUAAGAUGAGCUCGCGUUCCAUUAGCUGGUUGGUGAGGUAACGGCCCACCAAGGCAACGAUGGGUAGCCGGCCUGAGAGGGUGAACGGCCACAUUGGGACUGAGACACGGCCCAAACUCUACGGGAAGGCAGCAGUGGGGGGAUAAUUGCGCCAAUGGGGGGAACCCUGACGCAGCAACGCCGCGGAGUGAAGGAGGCCUUCGGGUCGUAAAACUUCUGUGAACAGGGGAAGAAGAAAGUGACGGUACCCUGAGAGGAAGCCCCGGCUAACUACGUGCCAGCAGCCGCGGUAACACGUAGGGGGCAAGCGUUGUCCGGAAUUACUGGGCGUAAAGGGUGCGUAGGCGGCCGAGCAAGUCCGAUGUGAAAGACCACGGCUAAACUGUGGGGGUGCAUAGGAAACUGUCCGGCUUGAGUGCAGGAGAGGAAAGUGGAAUUCCUAGUGUAGCGGUGAAAUGCGUAGAGAUUAGGAAGAACACCAGUGGCGAAGGCGACUUUCUGGACUGUAACUGACGCUGAGGCACGAAAGCGUGGGGAGCGAACAGGAUUAGAUACCCUGGUAGUCCACGCCGUAAACGAUGGAUACUAGGUGUAGGGGGGUAUCGACCCCCCCUGUGCCGGAGUUAACGCAAUAAGUAUCCCGCCUGGGGAGUACGGCCGCAAGGUUGAAACUCAAAGGAAUUGACGGGGGCCCGCACAAGCAGCGGAGCAUGUGGUUUAAUUCGAAGCAACGCGAAGAACCUUACCAGGGCUUGACAUCCCUCCGACGGGCAUAGAGAUAUGCCGUUUCAGCAAUGGACGGGGGAGACAGGUGGUGCAUGUUGUCGUCAGCUCGUGUCGUGAGAUGUUGGGUUAAGUCCCGCACGAGCGCAACCCUUAUCAACAGUUACCAGCAAGUAAAGUUGGGGACUCUGAAGAGACUGCCGGGGAGAACUCGGAGAAGGUGGGGAUUGACUCAAAUCAUCAUGCCCCUUAUGUCCUGGGCUACACACGUGCUACAAUGGCCUGAAACAAAGGGAAGCGGAGGCGCAAGCCGGAGCGGAACCCAGAAAGCAGGUCUCAGUUCGGAUUGUGGGCUGCAACCCGCCCACAUGAAGUCGGAGUUGCUAGUAAUCGCGAAUCAGCAUGUCGCGGUGAAUGCGUUCCCGGGCCUUGUACACACCGCCCGUCACA